CUUGCCUGCACAUUUGCUUGUGUCCUGUUUCCCAGCUUCAGUUCAGGAUCCACGAGGGCCCAGGGCUUGACAGGGACACUCUGUGGGUGAAGCCACAAGCAAGGGUAGACAAGAUGGCAAGCUGUCCUCACAAGGCAGGCCACACGGUCCUGGAAGUCCCCAACACUGUCAUGGACCAAGAUGAUCCAUGAUCUGCUGGACGAAGAAUCCAGCUGGCUGGACGCUCCUGCCCGCCCGUGCCGAGGUUUAGCUUGCAACUGGGGCAGAGGAUGGACGUUUCAAUUCCAGUUCACGGUCAGGGCCUGGGUGGGGGGAGGCCAGGCACUGCAGCAGGGUCAAGGUAGGGAGCUCCUCCUGGGACCCCGGGGGUGUGACCUCUGCACUUCCAAUUACUGAGCCGGGUCUGGGAGGGGCUGUGCAGCUAGUGAGAAGGGGGCUCCUCUCCCUGAUGCCCCUGGGCCCCGCCGGAGGUCGGUGAGUCAGCACCUACCGACUCUUUCUGAUCCUGGAAUCUGGCACAGGAUUUGGCACGGCGUAGGCGUCAGCGGGAGAGGCAGUGCCGCCCAAAGACUUGCGGAGCCAAAGACGAGAUGUGGGAAAGAUCGCCCAUCUCUCUGAAGCGUCCAGAAGAGUGCGCAGGCGUUGGGGGCAGGCGGUGUGAUCGGCUGGAAUACGCACUUCUGGGGCCUCCGAGCUGACCUUGUCCCUGGUGCCAGCACCUGAGGGUGCUGACACAUGAAAGACUGGCUGCCUUGGGCCCUCAAGGCCAUCGACCCCUUGCAAGGACUACAUGCUACCACCCAAAUCCCCAAAGAGCCUCUCCCAGGGAAGGACCCU